rnacentral:rRNA from 1 species
ACCUCGAGUGCCAGGUUACAAAUCUGGCUGUCGAGAUGCCUAAAAAGCAUUUCAUAGCAAGGGCCGGGCAAGACCGGUGCCAGCCGCCGCGGUAACACCGGCGGCUCGAGUGGUAACCGUUAUUAUUGGGUCUAAAGGGUCUGUAGCCGGCCGGAUAAGUCUCUUGAGAAAUCUGGCAGCUUAACUGUCAGGCUUUCAGGAGAUACUGUCUGGCUCGAGGCCGGGAGAGGUGAGAGGUACUUCAGGGGUAGGGGUGAAAUCUUGUAAUCCUUGAAGGACCGCCAGUGGCGAAGGCGUCUCACCAGAACGGACCUGACGGCAAGGGACGAAAGCUAGGGGCACGAACCGGAUUAGAUACCCGGGUAGUCCUAGCCGUAAACGAUACUCGCUAGGUGUCGGCCACGGUGCGACCGUUGUCGGUGCCGUAGGGAAGCCGUGAAGCGAGC